UCAAUAAGCGGAGGAAAAGAAACCAACAGGGAUUGCCCCAGUAACGGCGAGUGAAGCGGCAAGAGCUCAAAUUUUAAAUCUGGGGUCUCCGGCCCCCGAGUUGUAAUUUGGAGAGGCAUCUUCGGGAGGAGCGCUGGCCAAUGUUCCUUGGAACAGGACGUCGCAGAGGGUGAGAAUCCCGUGCCAGGCCAGCCGCGCCCUUCCACGUGAAGCGCCUUCGACGAGUCGAGUUGUUUGGGAAUGCAGCUCCAAGUGGGUGGUAAAUUUCAUCUAAAGCUAAAUACCGGCGAGAGACCGAUAGCGCACAAGUAGAGUGAUCGAAAGAUGAAAAGCACUUUGAAAAUAGAGUCAAAAAGUACGUGAAAUUGUUGAAAGGGAAGCGCUUGAGACCAGACUCGGAGCGAGGCAAACAUCUGGCCCCGCGGGGCCGUGCACUUGCCUCGGGCCGGGCCAGCAUCAGUUGGUGCGGCGGGAGAAAGGCGCGGGGAAUGUGGCUCCCCUCGGGGAGUGUUAUUAGCCCCGUGCUCAAUGCCGCCCGCACCGACUGAGGACCGCGCUUCGGCUAGGAUGCUGGCUUAAUGGCCUUCAGCGACCCGUCUUGAAACACGGACCAAGGAGUCUAACAUCUAUGCGAGUGUUUGGGUGCCAAACCCUUUCGCGGAAUGAAAGUGAACGGAGGUGGGAACCCCUCGCCGGGCGCACCAUCGACCGAUCCUGAUGUCUUCGGAUGGAUUUGAGUAGGAGCAUAGCUGUUGGGACCCGAAAGAUGGUGAACUAUGCCUGAAUAGGGUGAAGCCAGAGGAAACUCUGGUGGAGGCUCGCAGCGGUUCUGACGUGCAAAUCGAUCGUCAAAUUUGGGUAUAGGGGCGAAAG
rnacentral:rRNA from 1 species